ACCCCUACUAAUGUGUUCGGAUGAUAUUCUUUAUCGCUGUUAAGUGUAGCGUAACAUCCGAGUGGUCGAUUUGACCUCUAACGAGACCAGCCUCGAGACCGUGCGAGAUCUGCACCAGUUCCUGUAAGAUUUAGACAGGAAGUAGAUAUGUGUUUUGGGAUUUAUGCAUUUAAUGUCUCUACAGGAAUGCUAUUUCACAUCAGUAUUCUGAUGCUGUAUGCCAGUCGCCCAUCAUCAUGAUCAUACCCCUAAUAUAUUGAAAGACAGUAGUGGUACAGAGAUUUGGACAAUUUAUCAUCUACAGGAUGAUUUCAGGAUCACAAACAAAUAAGAAAAUCUGUUCAAGAACAUCAAGAAACUUUCCACUGAGACAUAAAAACAUGUACAGAGGCAAUUUCAAAAUACACACAAAGCAGGAUUUGUCAAAAGUGUGUUUUUGACAAAGAAGGUUUAAAACCUUUGUGGAUGUGGAUAUUGAAACUCCUUAAAACUCUUGAAGGAUGAGGAAAAGGAACCAUUGAAAUGGAACGUGUUGGACAGGGUUAUCACGAUCAUGCAUUUAUAAAAGAUGACAGCAUAUCAACACUGCCUUAAGAUUGGAGUUGAGACCUUGUAUUUUUUACAUGGAAAAUAAAGAACAGUUGCCGAAUGAAACAGAUGCUCGCAGAAGCAAAUGUAAUGAGGCCAGAAUGAUGGUGAUCAAUUUUGAAUGAUUUCAUUCUCUGGUUGAAAUGAUACU